CACGUAGAUGGCUUUGUAAGUCGGAUGUGAAAUCCCCGGGCUUAACCUGGGAACUACAUUCGAAACUGCAUUGCUCGAAUGUGGAAGAGGGAAGCGGAAUUCCAGGUGUAGCGGUGAAAUGCGUAGAUAUCUGGAGGAACAUCAGUGGCGAAGGCGGCUUCCUGGUCCAACAUUGACAUUCAGGUGCGAAAGCGUGGGGAGCAAACAGGAUUAGAUACCCUGGUAGUCCACGCCAUAAACGAUGAGAACUAGAUGUCGGGAGGGUUAGCCUUCCGGUGUCGCAGCUAACGCGUUAAGUUCUCCGCCUGGGGAGUACGGCCGCAAGGUUGAA
rnacentral:rRNA from 1 species